rnacentral:rRNA from 1 species
UACGGAGGGGCUAGCGUUGUUCGGAAUUACUGGGCGUAAAGCGCACGUAGGCGGCUUUGCAAGUUAGAGGUGAAAGCCCGGGGCUCAACUCCGGAAUUGCCUUUAAAACUGCAUCGCUAGAAUUGUGGAGAGGUAAGUGGAAUUCCGAGUGUAGAGGUGAAAUUCGUAGAUAUUCGGAAGAACACCAGUGGCGAAGGCGACUUACUGGACACAUAUUGACGCUGAGGUGCGAAAGCGUGGGAGCAAACAGG